rnacentral:rRNA from 1 species
CAACUGGAGAGUUUGAUCCUGGCUCAGAGCGAACGUUAGCGGCGGGCCUAACACAUGCAAGUCGUACGAGAACGCCCCUUCGGGGGUUAGUACAGUGGCGCACGGGUGAGUAACGCGUAGGCAAUCUACCCUCCGGCGGGGGAUAACGUCCCGAAAGGGUCGCUAAUACCGCAUAAGACCACGAUGCCCUCGGGCAAUGUGGGAAAAGGUGGCCUCUCCUUGGAAGCUACCACCAGAGGACGAGCCUGCGUCCCAUCAGCUUGUUGGUAAGGUAACGGCUUACCAAGGCGAAGACGGGUAGCUGGUUUGAGAGAAUGAUCAGCCACACUGGCACUGGAACACGGGCCAGACUCCUACGGGAGGCAGCAGUGAGGAAUCUUGGGCAAUGGGCGAAAGCCUGACCCAGCCACGCCGCGUGAGUGAUGAAGGCCUUCGGGUCGUAAAGCUCUGUGGGGAGGGACGAAAAAUCCAGGUUCGAAUAGGGCCUGGCCUUGACGGUGCCUCCUUAGCAAGCACCUGCUAACUCUAUGCCAGCAGCCGAGGUAAUACAUAGGGUGCAAACGUUGCUCGGAUUUACUGGGCGUAAAGCGCACGUAGGCUGUUUCGUAAGUCGGACGUAGUGCAAUGGGACCAGGGUGAUGGGAUCUGAGCUCGCCGCGUCCGUGUCGGCGUGCGAUCAAACCCCGGCCUUUGCUGGGCCCUGAGCCCUCGGCCCUCAAGCACUC